UGGGCGCAAGCCUGAUCCAGCCAUACCGCGUGGGUGAAGAAGGCCUUCGGGUUGUAAAGCCCUUUUGUUGGGAAAGAAAUCCAGCCGGCUAAUACCUGGUUGGGAUGACGGUACCCAAAGAAUAAGCACCGGCUAACUUCGUGCCAGCAGCCGCGGUAAUACGAAGGGUGCAAGCGUUACUCGGAAUUACUGGGCGUAAAGCGUGCGUAGGUGGUUAUUUAAGUCCGUUGUGAAAGCCCUGGGCUCAACCUGGGAACUGCAGUGGAUACUGGAUGACUAGAAUGUGGUAGAGGGUAGCGGAAUUCCUGGUGUAGCAGUGAAAUGCGUAGAGAUCAGGAGGAACAUCCAUGGCGAAGGCAGCUACCUGGACCAACAUUGACACUGAGGCACGAAAGCGUGGGGAGCAAACAGGAUUAGAUACCCUGGUAGUCCACGCCCUAAACGAUGCGAACUGGAUGUUGGGUGCAAUUUGGCACGCAGUAUCGAAGCUAACGCGUAAGUCGCCGCCUGGGAGACG
rnacentral:rRNA from 1 species